GAUGAACGCUGGCGGCGUGCCUAAUACAUGCAAGUCGAGCGAACAGAUGAGGAGCUUGCUCCUCUGACGUUAGCGGCGGACGGGUGAGUAACACGUGGAUAACCUACCUAUAAGACUGGGAUAACUUCGGGAAACCGGAGCUAAUACCGGAUAAUAUAUUGAACCGCAUGGUUCAAUAGUGAAAGACGGUUUUGCUGUCACUUAUAGAUGGAUCCGCGCCGCAUUAGCUAGUUGGUAAGGUAACGGCUUACCAAGGCAACGAUGCGUAGCCGACCUGAGAGAGGGAUCGGCAACAAUGGAACUGAGACACGGUCCAGACUCCUACGGGAGGCAGCAGUAGGGAAUCUUCAGCAAUGGGCGAAAGCCUGACGGAGCAACGCAGCGUGAGUGAUGAAGGUCUUCGGAUCGUAAAACUCUGUUAUUAGGGAAGAACAAAUGUGUAAGUAACUAUGCACGGCGUGACGGUACCUAAUCAGAAAGCCACGGCUAACUACGUG
rnacentral:rRNA from 1 species